rnacentral:rRNA from 1 species
UACGUAGGGGGCUAGCGUUGUUCGGAAUUAUUGGGCGUAAAGCGCGCGUAGGUGGCCUCGUAAGUCCGCUGUGAAAGUCCAAGGCUCAACCUUGGAAAGCCGGUGGAUACUGUGAGGCUAGAGUACGGAAGAGGCGAGUGGAAUUCCUGGUGUAGCGGUGGAAUGCGCAGAUAUCAGGAGGAACACCAAUAGCGAAGGCAGCUCGCUGGGACGUUACUGACACUGAGGCGCGAAAGCGUGGGGAGCGAACAGG